UAACACGUAGGGGGCGAGCGUUGUCCGGAUUCAUUGGGCGUAAAGCGCGCGCAGGCGGCUCGGAAAGUCGGAUGUGAAAACCUGGGGCUCAACCCCGGGCGUGCAUCCGAUACUGUCGGGCUUGAGGCAGGUAGGGGAGAUCGGAAUUCCUGGUGUAGCGGUGAAAUGCGCAGAUAUCAGGAGGAACACCGGUGGCGAAGGCGGAUCUCUGGGCCUGUCCUGACGCUGAGGCGCGAAAGCUAGGGGAGCGAACAGGAUUAGAUACCCUGGUAGUCCUAGCCGUAAACGAUGGGUGCUAGGUGUGGGGCGGCGAUUGAUUCGCCCUGUGCCGGAGCUAACGCAUUAAGCACCCCGCCUGGGGAGUACGGCCGCAAGGCUA
rnacentral:rRNA from 1 species